UGCACCUUUAGCUCAGAUGGUAGAGCAACUGACUCUUAAUCAGUGGGCCCAGGGUUCGAGUCCCUGAAGGUGCACCAU
rnacentral:tRNA from 1 species